AGAGAGCACACAAUUGAAGUGUGAGAUCAUUCCCUCAAUGGAGGUUUUGCCAUAAUAAGGAUUUAUAUGAAGGGCGGCGUGCAUUCCAACGGCAAAUCCCUGCUCCGAAGCAUGAAUUGCUUCUCUUGUAGAGUUACUUCCAGUGUUGCCUAUUACCUUGAUUGAUCCACCAAAACAAUUGACAGUGUGACCAAUAAGCAUUAUGUGCUCAUCCCAGCUCAUUAACUGGCCUUCA
rnacentral:misc_RNA from 1 species